ACGAACGCUGGCGGCGUGCCUAAUACAUGCAAGUAGAACGCUGAAGGAGGAGCUUGCUUCUCUGGAUGAGUUGCGAACGGGUGAGUAACGCGUAGGUAACCUGCCUGGUAGCGGGGGAUAACUAUUGGAAACGAUAGCUAAUACCGCAUAACAGUAGAUAUCGCAUGAUAUCUACUUGAAAGGUGCAAUUGCAUCACUACCAGAUGGACCUGCGUUGUAUUAGCUAGUUGGUGAGGUAACGGCUCACCAAGGCGACGAUACAUAGCCGACCUGAGAGGGUGAUCGGCCACACUGGGACUGAGACACGGCCCAGACUCCUACGGGAGGCAGCAGUAGGGAAUCGUCGGCAAUGGACGGAAGUCUGACCGAGCAAAGCCGCGUGAGUGAAGAAGGUUUUCGGAUCGUAAAGCUCUGUUGUAAGAGAAGAACGAGUGUGAGAGUGGAAAGUUCACACUGUGACGGUAUCUUACCAGAAAGGGACGGCUAACUACGUG
rnacentral:rRNA from 1 species